rnacentral:rRNA from 2 species
AGCGAACGGACGAGAAGCUUGCUUCUCUGAUGUUAGCGGCGGACGGGNGAGUAACACGUGGAUAACCUACCUAUAAGACUGGGAUAACUUCGGGAAACCGGAGCUAAUACCGGAUAAUAUUUUGAACCGCAUGGUUCAAAAGUGAAAGACGGUCUUGCUGUCACUUAUAGAUGGAUCCGCGCUGCAUUAGCUAGUUGGUAAGGUAACGGCUUACCAAGGCAACGAUGCAUAGCCGACCUGAGAGGGUGAUCGGCCACACUGGAACUGAGACACGGUCCAGACUCCUACGGGAGGCAGCAGUAGGGAAUCUUCCGCAAUGGGCGAAAGCCUGACGGAGCAACGCCGCGUGAGUGAUGAAGGUCUUCGGAUCGUAAAACUCUGUUAUUAGGGAAGAACAUAUGUGUAAGUAACUGUGCACAUCUUGACGGUACCUAAUCAGAAAGCCACGGCUAACUACGUGCCAGCAGCCGCGGUAAUACGUAGGUGGCAAGCGUUAUCCGGAAUUAUUGGGCGUAAAGCGCGCGUAGGCGGUUUUUUAAGUCUGAUGUGAAAGCCCACGGCUCAACCGUGGAGGGUCAUUGGAAACUGGAAAACUUGAGUGCAGAAGAGGAAAGUGGAAUUCCAUGUGUAGCGGUGAAAUGCGCAGAGAUAUGGAGGAACACCAGUGGCGAAGGCGACUUUCUGGUCUGUAACUGACGCUGAUGUGCGAAAGCGUGGGGAUCAAACAGGAUUAGAUACCCUGGUAGUCCACGCCGUAAACGAUGAGUGCUAAGUGUUAGGGGGUUUCCGCCCCUUAGUGCUGCAGCUAACGCAUUAAGCACUCCGCCUGGGGAGUACGACCGCAAGGUUGAAACUCAAAGGAAUUGACGGGGACCCGCACAAGCGGUGGAGCAUGUGGUUUAAUUCGAAGCAACGCGAAGAAACUUACCAAAUCUUGACAUCCUUUGACCACUCUAGAGAUAGAGCCUUCCCCUUCGGGGGACAAAGUGACAGGUGGUGCAUGGUUGUCGUCAGCUCGUGUCGUGAGAUGUUGGGUUAAGUCCCGCAACGAGCGCAACCCUUAAGCUUAGUUGCCAUCAUUAAGUUGGGCACUCUAAGUUGACUGCCGGUGACAAACCGGAGGAAGGUGGGGAUGACGUCAAAUCAUCAUGCCCCUUAUGAUUUGGGCUACACACGUGCUACAAUGGACAAUACAAAGGGCAGCGAAACCGCGAGGUCAAGCAAAUCCCAUAAAGUUGUUCUCAGUUCGGAUUGUAGUCUGCAACUCGACUACAUGAAGCUGGAAUCGCUAGUAAUCGUAGAUCAGCAUGCUACGGUGAAUACGUUCCCGGGUCUUGUACACACCGCCCGUCACACCACGAGAGUUUGUAACACCCGAAGCCGGUGGAGUANCCUUUUAGG